rnacentral:siRNA from 1 species
CGGUCCAACGUUUUUAAUGCC